CCUACGGGGGGCAGCAGUAGGGAAUCUUCCGCAAUGGACGAAAGUCUGACGGAGCAACGCCGCGUGAGCGAAGAAGGUCUUCGGAUCGUAAAGCUCUGUUGUUAGGGAAGAACAAGUACGGGAGGAAAUGACCGUACCUUGACGGUACCUAACGAGGAAGCCACGGCUAACUACGUGCCAGCAGCCGCGGUAAUACGUAGGUGGCAAGCGUUGUCCGGAAUUAUUGGGCGUAAAGCGCGCGCAGGCGGUUUUUUAAGGCUGAUGUGAAAUCUUGCGGCUCAACCGCAAGCGGUCAUUGGAAAGGGGGGGACUGGGGUGCAAGAGAGGAAGGGGCAAGCCCGCGGUGGGCGGUGAAUUGGGGGGAGAUUGGGAGGAACACCAGGGGCGAAGGCGGCUUUCUGGUCUGUAACAGACGCUGGGGCGGGAAAGUGUGGGGAGCGAACAGGAUUAGAUACCCGGGUAGUC
rnacentral:rRNA from 1 species